GGAGACGUGCCCGAAGCUCAGGGGUCACUUUGAUAGAGUGAACCAUGGGGGUUAGAGUCCCCCCGGCUCCU
rnacentral:tRNA from 1 species